rnacentral:rRNA from 1 species
AUUGAACGCUGGCGGCAUGCUUUACACAUGCAAGUCGAGCGGCAGCGCGGGGGCAACCCUGGCGGCGAGCGGCGAACGGGUGAGUAAUGCAUCGGAACGUAUCCUCGAGUGGGGGAUAACCCAGCGAAAGUUGGGCUAAUACCGCAUGAGCUCUGAGGAGGAAAGCGGGGGACCUGCGAGGGCCUCGCGCUGGAGGAGCGGCCGAUGUCCGAUUAGCUAGUUGGUGGGGUAAAGGCUUACCAAGGCGACGACCGGUAGCUGGUCUGAGAGGAUGAUCAGCCACACUGGGACUGAGACACGGCCCAGACUCCUACGGGAGGCAGCAGUGGGGAAUUUUGGACAAUGGGGGCAACCCUGAUCCAGCCAUGCCGCGUGAGUGAAGAAGGCCUUCGGGUUGUAAAGCUCUUUCGGACGGAACGAAAUGGGCGGGACUAAUACUCCUGUCUGAUGACGGUACCGUAAGAAGAAGCACCGGCUAACUACGUG